rnacentral:rRNA from 1 species
AUUGAACGCUAGCGGCAUGCUUUACACAUGCAAGUCGAACGAGUGGCGGACGGGUGAGUAAUAUAUGGGAACGUCCCCAGUAGAGGGGGAAAACUACUCGAAAGUGGGCAAAUACCGCAACCUCUUGGAUGGGCCGAUAUCGGAUUAGCUUGUUGGGGGGGUAAAGGCUCACCAAGGCAACGAUCCGUAGCUGGUUUGAGAGGACGACCAGCCACACUGGGACUGAGACACGGCCCAGACUCCUACGGGAGGCAGCAGUGGGGAAUUUUGGACAAUGGGGGAAACCCUGAUCCAGCCAUCCCGCGUGUAUGAUGAAGGCCUUCGGGUUGUAAAGUACUUUUGGCAGAGAAGCGGUAUCUGCAGAAUAAGCACCGGCUAACUACGUGCCAGCAGCCGCGGUAAUUC